GCGAACGGGUGAGUAAUGCAUCGGAACGUACCGAGUAGUGGGGGAUAACUGUCCGAAAGGAUGGCUAAUACCGCAUACGCUUUGAGAAGGAAAGCAGGGGCUCUUCGGACCUUGCGCUAUUCGAGCGGCCGAUGUCUGAUUAGCUGGUUGGUGGGGUAAAGGCCUACCAAGGCGACGAUCAGUAGCGGGUCUGAGAGGAUGAUCCGCCACACUGGGACUGAGACACGGCCCAGACUCCUACGGGAGGCAGCAGUGGGGAAUUUUGGACAAUGGGCGCAAGCCUGAUCCAGCCAUGCCGCGUGUCUGAAGAAGGCCUUCGGGUUGUAAAGGACUUUUGUCAGGGAAGAAAAGGUUGUGGUUAAUACCCAUGACUGAUGACGGUACCUGAAGAAUAAGCACCGGCUAACUACGUGCCAGCAGCCGCGGUAAUACGUAGGGUGCGAGCGUUAAUCGGAAUUACUGGGCGUAAAGCGGGCGCAGACGGUUACUUAAGUCAGAUGUGAAAUCCCCGGGCUCAACCU
rnacentral:rRNA from 1 species